UGUUCUUUGCCCCGCACCAGUCCCAAAUGCAAAAUCACAGCCUUGCCCAUGGCUCUUUCUCCAAUCCUCUUUUAUAUCUUAGAAGCUGAUCAGGCACAGGCAUGCUACAGCGACGGAAGUCCCGUGGUAAACUUCUUCGAGGUGAAUUAUCAGAAUGAGGGGACAUCUUGCAGCUUUACCACAACUUGUGUAUGACCUUAUUCUCUGUGCAGCAGUAGCAGAAACAACUACACUGGCUGAGCACAGCAUGUGCUUCCUCUGCAUAUACACACGAAGAAAUGGAGGAUUAUGGGAGCUGUUCUUUCCAAGAUCACACAUCCUGCCGAUGGUGGGCCUCUGAAAUCCAACUCUAAGCCCCCAAACCGCACAACCUGCAGAUGAUGGCACCUCUAUGAGGUUCAUCUGUAAAAUGGGUAUGCUGAACAGGCUGGAGAUUUUGGAAGAUCAGAAAAGCGCUCACAAGCAUUGGGAAGGUUUUCUGUCUUAGAAUUACUGUAACCAUCUGCCGGAAGUUGUUGGAAGUCUGAACCUGACUGUCUUUCAUAGAAUCUUCAGACGUCUGUCUACCCUGGGCCCAUCUGCCCUGCUACCUGGGGAUCUGCGCUGCUGAGCCUUGGAAGGUAUUUGAGUCUGUAGUCCUUGCACACCAUUUCCUCAGCCUGACCACCGCUCCUCUCUCACGGAUGGCAGUUUCCUAGUCGUGAAGGCAGCGUGGGUAGAAGCAGACAUUGGGGACGUCCGGAUGAGGGAUGCUGACGCCCACGUGCCACCGCAGGCACAUGAGGUCCGCUCGGACCCGUGUCUAGCGUGAUGUGGAGUCGCUGAGAUGAGGGGCCCGAAGCUCCCCGUCGGCCUCUUGGAAGCCUGGUACCGGCACGCGGCCUCGCCACUGCUCCUGCGGCUCCCGCUCCGGCGCUGUCGCCUGCCCCCAUGACCGCACCAAGGCCGCGUCCAUGCCGCCUUCCUCUUCCCGGCCUGGGUCAAACUCAGCGGGCGGCCCUUGCCACCGUGUCCUGGGUUGUGCUCCCCGCCGCCGGCUUCCUCAACAGGACACUCACUAGGCCCCGAUGGGCGCUACCGCCCGCACGCUCUCCAUUCCUCACAGACACAGAGGAUCCUGACGCCGCUCAGACCAGACCAGGGGCUCAGGCUAAAUCAACCAGCCACGCCACUGCCACAAAGGUCGACGGGUCCUCUCGCGAGACCCUGCGCGUCCUCCCGCGAGACCUCACAUUGGCUCUCUAGGAUUCGCUGCGAAUUCUCGCGGGAUCCCGCGUGUUCUCCGCCUGCACGGGCCAGCUGCCCGCUGACGAAGCUGUUUUCUGCUGUGUCCUCUCUCUGUCUCCUGAGCCGCAGACUGCCGCGGCUGGAGCUUUGCUGUCGCAGUAGAAGAGAACUUCUGCCAGUGACGUCGCUGGUAGAGCAUUGCUCCGGCCGCAGCUUCCUCCGAGACCUGGGUGCGGGCCAGGUCCCACGGGCGCUGAGGGAAACCGAUGACUCCUGAAGACGCAGCCACGGUGCAGGAGCGCGAGGCCACGGGCGUCCCGGGGCUGCAGCAGGUGUGAAGCCCGACGCCUCGGCUGUGACGAGGCAGGAAAUCCCCGUUGGCGUCUGAGAGCGGUUUUGAUGGACGCGUCUUCCUUGUAUUUGAUGUUCUUGACAGCAGUGUGUAUGACUGGGAUUUCUGCGGCGACAUCAGCGUCUGUCUAAGUGGCCCCCUUACACCCGGGUGCUUUGCAGCUGCAGGCUCCAUCUGGUCAUUACAGGCAGACAGACUGCUUCUGCCUCGGGACUGUGUUCCGUGAUGAGACGACCCCACUUCCUGAGGCAUCACUUCCUGGCCUUGUGAAGACGUUCUAAGGCUGCUUUGAGGCCUGUUACAUUUGGCAUCAGGACGCCCUGCCCUGCGCACCGUUACCCACGGGCUCCCCUCCUAGGUUCAUUAAACCUCAGGGUAAAUUGAUACUUCUUGAUGGGAGACAGCGUGUCAGUGCCCACUGCGAAGCAAGGACACACAUUUUUAUUUGGCUUCUGCCAGGCUGGGCUGUGGGCUCCCCAUGGAUCGCACUGGCCUUUCCGAAUCAAGCGCACAAAGACCUUAUUUCCAACUCUGCUGCACUCAUCGGAGCCGCCUUGGAUGUGACAAGGUGUGCCUCAGCGGGGGGCUUGCAGGAGCCCAGGGAAUCAGCAGUGAGGAAACUGCCGGCUCCAACUUCAGCCUUCUGAAUCACCUCUAAUGCAGCGAAAACCAUCUGCAUUUCACAGAAAAACAACCGUGAAACGCACUGGUUCCAUUAAGCACGGAAACCAAACACUGACCUUUUAGGAUAAUAGUUGGCUCCUCUCAGAAUGGAAAAAGAACUGCCUGAGAAUCAAAACCUGCUGUGUGAACGAUCCCCUGAAAGCAGGCUACUCACCAGACGUUAGAAGCUUUUGCCAGGAAAAGGCAUCUCUGCCUUUACUUAAAGCUCACCAUCGCUAAUUAAAACCACAGCACUUAGAGAAUGGCGCCCCUGCCCCACCUUGGCGAGGUGUAAGGGACAGGGCCUCUGCUGUCUUCACCAGGAGGGAGGGCUCUGUGCGCGGGUUACUGUGUACAGAGGCAUCUCUGCGAGUGGGGUUUCCAUCAGUGCCAGGGCAGGCCUGGAUUUCAUUAAUAGAAAUGCAGAACACAUGGUUCCAAGUCUGUUUGCUCAACCAUAAAAUAAGCAAAAUAUUACUGACUUUAUUUUCUCCCAGAGGGUGAAAGAGCAGAAGGUCCACAAAGACAUAAGCUGUGUCCAUGAAGCACUGAGGCAGGGUUACUCGACCUGGGAAAGUCAAAGAUUAGCAACUUUUGCCUCACCAAGCAGCUACGUUAAAGUCAUGAUAUACCGCCAACCAGCCAGCCAAGCUACCCACCCACCCAGCGCCUGGCACCAUGGUCACCACGAACCACCACCACCACCAUCUCAGAAAAGGACGUAACACCAGCUAAGUAGAGGGAUGUGCUCAUUCUCAAAGUAGAAGACAAGAAGUGCAGUGAGUUUUGUCAGAUCUCACUCUCUGGUCCUGUUUUGCACAUUGGAUGCGGGCAGAUUAGCAUCUGAGAGUCACAGGGGAGUCUUGGCAUCGGUCUUACUUCUCUAGGUCCAUCUUCUGGGCACUUUCAAGGUCAAGAGAGGUCUCUGGUACAGGAUUAUAGGGAAGACCCCAAAAUUUAAAGACCCACACAAUUAAAAAUCUCCACAGGAAA